rnacentral:rRNA from 1 species
UACGUAGGGGGCAAGCGUUGUUCGGAAUUACUGGGCGUAAAGGGCUCGUAGGUGGCCAACUAAGUCAGACGUGAAAUCCCUCGGCUUAACCGGGGAACUGCGUCUGAUACUGGAUGGCUUGAGUUCGGGAGAGGGAUGCGGAAUUCCAGGUGUAGCGGUGAAAUGCGUAGAUAUCUGGAGGAACACCGGUGGCGAAGGCGGCAUCCUGGACCAACACUGACGCUGAGGAGCGAAAGCCAGGGGAGCAAACGGG